rnacentral:miRNA from 1 species
CGAGGGUACGAUCUUUUCGAC